UAUUUUUGACCUUCUUUCAAUCAAGGAAAUUGAUAAUAAAUGGCUAGCUUUAUUUUUGUAAUGCUGGCACUUCAUAAUCUAAAUUAAAAGAAAUGUACAAUUUUCUUCUUCGUUCAAACCAGAACUAGGGGUAUAUAAAGCCACCGGUUUGACGUUUUCAUCAGUACAUUAAAAUCAUCCGUCUAAAACGAUUAAAAAACACCAAAAAAAUUGUACAUACCUACCAAGUUCUCGAAAAUCAUCCUAUUUACGACUUUAUCAGCUGCAGUCCGUUUUUGGACGUCUAGUACCUAUUUUGCUACUUGGUAGUAGUACUCUCUACAAACAAUAAACAUGUGCUGCGGAGGUUGUGGUGGCUGUUGUGGAGGCUGCUGCGGCGGAUGCUGCUGCCCUUGCAUCACAAUCUACACAUGCUGCACCAAGAUCUGCUGAGUAGUGGCCGCAGGAGUGCCGGCAGCCGUGCCAGCGCUUCUGACGCUUCUACCAAAACCCGUGUUGUGUGGAUGUCAUAUUCUCACAAGUGUUGUUGCGUGAAAUAAAUUAUGUAUUAAGCUUA